rnacentral:tmRNA from 1 species
GGGGCUGAACGGUUUCGACUUUGGACGACUGAUCCAGGGGAAGCGGGCCGAGGAGCCAGGGUCAUCUCGUUAACGAUCCUUGGAAACCCAUAAGUGCCAACGCUAAGCGCACUGACUUCGCUCUCGCCGCCUGAGGCGACUAGCGGAGGGUCAGCCUGGGAGCGCCUCCGUCCCAGUGCCUGGCCUCAUCGAGGAGGCUGGCUGAUCAGACCCGGCCGCGGGAUCUGAUCGGGACUCUUACAGCGGCUGAGCCUGUCGGCGACGUGUCUGCGCGAGCGCCGGGGCUGAGAAAACGUCACGCAGACUGCGCCCGGAGAAGUCCUGGACCACCGCCGAAGGACGCGGGUUCGAUUCCCGCCAGCUCCACGU